rnacentral:rRNA from 1 species
GUGGGGAAUAUUGGACAAUGGGCGAAAGCCUGAUCCAGCCAUGCCGCGUGUGUGAAGAAGGUCUUCGGAUUGUAAAGCACUUUAAGUUGGGAGGAAGGGCAGUAAGUUAAUACCUUGCUGUUUUGACGUUACCGACAGAAUAAGCACCGGCUAACUUCGUGCCAGCAGCCGCGGUAAUGCGAAGGGUGCAAGCGUUAAUCGGAAUUACUGGGCGUAAAGCGCGCGUAGGUGGUUUUGUAAGUUGGAGGUGAAAUCCCCGGGCUCAACCUGGGAACUGCCUCCAAAACUGCAUGACUAGAGUACGGUAGAGGGUAGUGGAAUUUCCUGUGUAGCGGUGAAAUGCGUAGAUAUAGGAAGGAACACCAGUGGCGAAGGCGACUACCUGGACUGAUACUGACACUGAGGUGCGAAAGCGUGGGGAGCAAACAGGAUUAGAAACCCCGGUAGUCC